rnacentral:rRNA from 1 species
UACGGUGGGGGCAAGCGUUGUUCGGAAUUACUGGGCGUAAAGGGCUCGUAGGUGGCCAACUAAGUCAGACGUGAAAUCCCUCAGCUUAACUGGGGAACUGCGUCUGAGACUGAUGAGCUCGAGUGCAGGAGAGGAACGCGGAAUUCCAGGUGUAGCGGUGAAAUGCGUAGAUAUCUGGAGGAACACCGGUGGCGAAGGCGGCGUUCUGGACUGCAACUGACACUGAGGAACGAAAGCCAGGGGAGCAAACGGG